ACGCCAAGAAGAGGGCCACGGGCCGCGACGCGGGUCUCCCCCGGGCGGGGGGAAGAUUAACGGUGAAGCGACUCCGCGGAGAGAGCUUUCCCGGCAGCCCUCCGCCCCACCGCGCUCCGGCGUUCCCCCGUUCGGGGCGGUGCUUUGUCAGGCGCCGUCCUCACCCCAGCCAGGACCGGGGGCGGCGGGGAGCGCGGGUCGGAGGUGAGGGAGCGCGGCGGCAGGCGGGUGUCGCCUCGCCAUGGCCAAGCACCACCCGGACCUCAUCUUCUGCCGCAAGCAGGCGGGCGUGGCAAUCGGAAGACUUUGCGAGAAAUGUGAUGGCAAAUGCGUGAUCUGUGACUCCUAUGUGCGGCCCUGCACUCUUGUGCGCAUAUGUGAUGAGUGUAACUACGGCUCCUACCAAGGGCGCUGUGUGAUCUGCGGGGGUCCAGGAGUGUCUGAUGCCUACUACUGCAAGGAGUGUACCAUCCAGGAAAAAGAUACCCUCCCCACUGGCUUGCAUCUCCUGCACCAGAGCGGGUAUCGGUGCGGCAGCUUGGGUGCAGUUUCUACAGUGGCUGACAUCUGCCCAGAGGCUUUCUAAAUCUAAUCCACUCGGGCUUACACAACAGCCAAGGACAUGUGUUCCUCUGCUUGCAUGUGUUUCUCACAGCUGCUGUUGCCAGCCACAACAUUUUGCCCUCAAGAGUUAUGCAGAUGCUGGGCUUAGGUGGCCCAUGGACAAAUGUUCCCUGGUACACCAAGAGGUGCAUCUCUGGUUUGUCUUUGCAACCACACCUCUGAGGUGGGUCUCCCCACUCCCCUUCUUGCUUUUUGUGUGGCUUUUUUCUCACUGUCCACUGGAAUUCAGGUAAAAGAACUUAUCCGUGUAGCUGCUGUGAAUAGCUGUCCUCUCCCAAGAUGACCAUACAGCCUCUGCAGUCAUCAAUCCAGGAUGCAGGAAAUCUGAGAUUCAGUUCUGCCAUCACAGCUGAGAGGGGUCCCUAAACACGAGAAUGGCUUGGUGACAUCUAAAGCAACAAGACUCUUUUUGGCUAAGGAGGGGAAAGGUUGUUCCUCUGGGCCCUCUAAAUCGUCCAUAUUCAAAUUUACAAAGAAUCCAGUCUUGAGGCAUUGAGCAUCCUUUUCAUUAAACUGCUGAUGUUAUACGAGCUGUUUCCCGUCUUCACCCCGAGGAAGAGAAUGUCCUAGAGUAAUGUUAAAAAGGCAUCCAUCCUCUUCUCUGUUCCAGUGUCUUGCUGGUAGUAACCAGAAUUGGAGGGCAGUUUGUUUGCACAGGCGUUGAGAAUGUGUGUUGAGGACAGGAGAGAUGGUUGCCCUAAAAUCGUCAACCUGGGCAGUUCCAAGACAGAUCUCUUCUACGAAAGGAAAAAGUAUGGCUUCAAGAAGAGGU